GUUUAUGGCCAUACUACCCUGAACAAGCAUGAUCCUAUGUGAUCUUGGAAACUAAGGAGGGUCAGGCCUGGUUAGUACUUGGAUGGGAGACCACCUAGGAAGACCAGGUGCCGUAGGCA
rnacentral:rRNA from 1 species